rnacentral:rRNA from 1 species
GAAAAAAUUAGAGUGUUCAAAGCAGGCAGAUCCAAUUUUCUGCCACCGAAUACAUUAGCAUGGGAUAAUGGAAUAGGACCCUGUCCUCCUAUUUUCAGUUGGUUUGCCGCGAGGACCAGGGUAAUGAUUAAUAGGGAUAGUUGGGGGCAUUAAUAUUUAAUUGUCAGAGGUGAAAUUCUUGGAUUUAUGAAAGAUUAACUUCUGCGAAAGCAUCUGCCAAGGAUGUUUUCAUUAAUCAAGAACGAAAGUUAGGGGAUCGAAGACGAUCAGAUACCGUCGUAGUCUUAACCAUCGACCAGCGAUUAGGAGACGUUGAAUACAAAACACCACCAUGCGCAUUGCGGUCGUCUUUGGUGUCGCUCACAAGGCGGCACCGGGGCGGCUUAGCUCGCAUGGCACCGGUGAAUGACUCCCUAGCAGGCU